GAUGAACGCUGACAGAAUGCUUAACACAUGCAAGUCUACUUGAACUUCGGUUUGGGUGGCGGACGGGUGAGUAACGCGUACAGAACUUGCCUCACAGUUAGGGACAACAUUUAGAAACGAAUGCUAAUACCUGAUAUUAUGAUUUUAGGGCAUCCUAAAAUUAUGAAAGCUAUAUGCGCUGUGAGAGAGCUUUGCGUCCCAUUAGCUAGUUGGAGAGGUAACGGCUCACCAAGGCGAUGAUGGGUAGCCGGCCUGAGAGGGUGAACGGCCACAAGGGGACUGAGACACGGCCCUUACUCCUACGGGAGGCAGCAGUGGGGAAUAUUGGACAAUGGACCAAAAGUCUGAUCCAGCAAUUCUGUGUGCACGAUGACGUUUUUCGGAAUGUAAAGUGCUUUCAGUUGGGAAGAAAAAAAUGACGGUACCAACAGAAGAAGUGACGGCUAAAUACGU
rnacentral:rRNA from 1 species